rnacentral:pre_miRNA from 1 species
AAAAUAGAUUGAAAAAUACAGUCAUGAACAAAAUAAAAAUUACUCUAUAUAUGCAGUAAUGUUUUCUUUUUUGUUCAUGACUGCAUUUUCUACUCUAUUU